AUUGAACGCUGGCGGCAUGCCUUACACAUGCAAGUCGAACGGCAGCAUGGAGGAGCUUGCUCCUCUGAUGGCGAGUGGCGAACGGGUGAGUAAAGCAUCGGAACGUACCGUGUAGUGGGGGAUAACGUAGCGAAAGUUACGCUAAUACCGCAUACGCACUGAGGUGGAAAGCAGGGGAUCGCAAGACCUUGCGCUAUACGAGCGGCCGAUGUCAGAUUAGCUAGUUGGUAGGGUAAAGGCCUACCAAGGCGACGAUCUGUAGCGGGUCUGAGAGGAUGAUCCGCCACACUGGGACUGAGACACGGCCCAGACUCCUACGGAGGCAGCAGUGGGGAAUUUUGGCAAUGGGGGAAACCCUGAUCCAGCCAUUCCGCGUGUGCGAUGAAGGCCUUGGGUUGUAAAGCACUUUUGGCAGGAAGAAAUCGCAUCAAUUAAUACUUGGUNUGGGAUCGAGGUACCUGGCAGAAUAAGCAA
rnacentral:rRNA from 1 species